UACGGAGGGAGCUAGCGUUAUUCGGAAUUACUGGGCGUAAAGCGCACGUAGGCGGCUUUGUAAGUUAGAGGUGAAAGCCUGAAGCUCGACUUCAGAAUUGCCUUUAAGACUGCAUCGCUUGAAUCCAGGAGAGGUGAGUGGAAUUCCGAGUGUAGAGGUGAAAUUCGUAGAUAUUCGGAAGAACACCAGUGGCGAAGGCGGUCUUCGAGGCGCUAACUGACGCUGAGGCGCGAAAGCGUGGGGAGCGAACCGG
rnacentral:rRNA from 1 species